rnacentral:rRNA from 1 species
UACUAUACUAGUGAAUUUAUAGAAAUCUGAAUUAUUAAUAGAUAUAUUCUUUAAAUUUGAAGAAUUUGGCGGUAAUUUAGUCUUGUUAGAGGAACCUGUUUUUGAAUCGAUACACCACGUGAAAUCUUACUCAUCAUUAUAAAAGUUUAUAUACCAUCAUUAGCAGAUAAUUUUUAAAAAAUUAAUUAUUAAGGUUUAAAGAAGUAAAAUUAAUUUAAAUUAGAUCAAGGUGUAGCCUAUGGAUGAGUUAAAAUGGGUUACAAUAAAAUUUAUUUAAAACGGAGCAAAUAUGAGAAAAUUAUUUUGUAGAAGGAGGAUUUAAUUGUAAUAUAAGUUUAAUAAGCUAAAAAGAUAUAAGCUCUAAAUUAU